GCUCCCGUAGCUUAACGGAUAGAGUACUGGCCUCCGAAGCCGGUGAUACCAGUUCGAGUCUGGUCGGGAGCG
rnacentral:tRNA from 1 species